rnacentral:ncRNA from 1 species
AAAUUAUAAGAAGGGACCCAACACAGAAAAUUCAUUUUAUUGAAUUUUACAUUUAUGUGCAAGUUGGGCAAAGUGUCUUAUUUUUUAAAAGUAUUUCAAAGUAAAAUUACAUGUUAAUACGUAGUAUUAAUGGCGAGACUCCUGAGGGAGCAGUGCCAGUCGAAGACCAAGGCUGAGACGGCACCCUAGGAAAGCAAAGCCAUUCAAUACGAAGUAUUGUAUAAAUAGAGAACAGCAG